CGGAGAUAGCUGGUUCUCUCCGAAAUAGCUUUAGGGCUAGCGUCGAGUAUGAGUAGUGGAGGUAGAGCACUGAAUGGGCUAGGGGGCAUAGCGCUUACCGAACCUUAUCAAACUCCGAAUGCCACAUACUUUGAGCUCGGCAGUCAGACUACGAAUGAUAAGAUCCGUGGUCAAAAGGGAAACAGCCCAGAUCGUCAGCUAAGGUCCCAAAGUGUAAGUUAAGUGGGAAAGGAUGUGAGAUUUCUAAGACAACUAGGAUGUUGGCUUAGAAGCAGCCAUUCAUUAAAAGAGUGCGUAAUAGCUCACUAGUCGAGAGAUCUUGCGCCGAAAAUGUAACGGGGCUAAACUUACCACCGAAGCUACGGGCUUGAACUUAGUUCAAGCGGUAGGAGAGCGUCGUAACCGGGCUGAAGUCGUACCGUAAGGAGCGGUGGACUGGUUACGAGUGAGAAUGUUGGCAUCAGUAGCGAGAUGUGGGUGAGAAUCCCACAGGCCGAAAACCUAAGGUUUCCUCAGGAAGGUUCGUCCGCUGAGGGUUAGUCGGGACCUAAGCCGAGGCCGAAAGGCGUAGGUGAUGGACAACUGGUUGAUAUUCCAGUACCACUACCAUCGUUAUUAUCGAUGGCGUGACGCAGGAGGAUAGUGUGUGCUAGCUAUUGGAUGCUAGUCUAAGCGUUUAGGCAGUGAGAGUAGGCAAAUCCGCUCUCAUAAUGCUGAGGCGUGAUGGGGAAGGUUCCACGGAACCGAAGUACAUGAUUCCACGCUGCCAAGAAAAGCGUCUAGAGAGAGAAGUAGUGCCCGUACCGCAAACCGACACAGGUAGGUGAGGAGAGAAUCCUAAGGCCGGCGGAAGAAUUACAGUUAAGGAACUCGGCAAAUUGACCCCGUAAGUUCGCGAGAAGGGGUGCCUACGAGAGUAGGCCGCAGAGAAUAGGCCCAAGCAACUGUUUAGCAAAAACACAGGUCUCUGCUAAAGCGUAAGCUGAUGUAUAGGGGCUGACGCCUGCCCGGUGCUGGAAGGUUAAGGGGAACACUUAGCGCAAGCGAAGGUGUGAACUUAAGCCCCAGUAAACGGCGGCCGUAACUAUAACGGUCCUAAGGUAGCGAAAUUCCUUGUCAGGUAAGUUCUGACCCGCACGAAUGGCGUAAUGACUUGGGCACUGUCUCAACUGUAAAUCCGGCGAAGUUGUAGUGCGAGUGAAGAUGCUCGCUACCCGCGAUUGGACGGAAAGACCCCGUAGAGCUUUACUGUAGCUUAGCAUUGAGUUUUGGUAUUGUCUGUACAGGAUAGGUGGGAGACUAGGAAACCAGGGCGUCAGCCUUGGUGGAGUCAACCUUGGGAUACCACCCUGACAGUACUGAAAUUCUAACUGGCGGCCAUGAAUCUGGUCACAGGACAUUGUUAGGUGGGCAGUUUGACUGGGGCGGUCGCCUCCUAAAAAGUAACGGAGGCGCCCAAAGGUUCCCUCAGAACGGUCGGAAAUCGUUCGAAGAGUGCAAAGGCAGAAGGGAGCCUGACUGCGACACCCACAAGUGGAGCAGGGACGAAAGUCGGGCUUAGUGAUCCGGUGGUACCUCGUGGGAGGGCCAUCGCUCAACGGAUAAAAGCUACCUCGGGGAUAACAGGCUGAUCUCCCCCAAGAGUCCACAUCGACGGGGAGGUUUGGCACCUCGAUGUCGGCUCGUCGCAUCCUGGGGCUGAAGUAGGUCCCAAGGGUUGGGCUGUUCGCCCAUUAAAGCGGCACGCGAGCUGGGUUCAGAACGUCGUGAGACAGUUCGGUCCCUAUCCGUCG
rnacentral:rRNA from 1 species